CCUGGCUGUGCGGAGAGGGGACCUGCUGGGAUUCCGCGUUCCACGCGGGGCUGCGGCGGGGCCCUCGGUAGGUGUGAGAAGAGGAUCAAAGACAGCAGAAGAAGGCUGCAUGAGGGUACUGGACGCCGAAGCUGAGUUUUGAAGUGAUGCAGUUUAUACUGUUGGGUCGGUCAGACUUCAUUUGAGGGACGUGCUUUGAACGUAUGAAAUUUUAUCUCUAGUUAUCAGGUUGAAUUAAAUGGAAGCUCUGCAGUAUCAAA